GACCACACGGGAUAAUCGAUUAUCCCGUGCGGUGCAAUAAAACCGACCGCAUGGGAUAAUCUCUUAUUCCGUGCGGUC
rnacentral:pre_miRNA from 18 species